ACUUGAAUUGAAGAGUUUGAUCAUGGCUCAGAUUGAACGCUGGCGGCAGGCUUAACACAUGCAAGUCGAACGGUAGCAGGAGAAAGCUUGCUUUCUUGCUGACGAGUGGCGGACGGGUGAGUAAUGCUUGGGAAUCUGGCUUAUGGAGGGGGAUAACGACGGGAAACUGUCGCUAAUACCGCGUAUUAUCGGAAGAUGAAAGUGCGGGACUGAGAGGCCGCAUGCCAUAGGAUGAGCCCAAGUGGGAUUAGGUAGUGGUGGGGGUAAAAGGCCUACCAAGCCUGCGAUCUCUAGCUGGUCUGAGAGGAUGACCAGCCACACUGGAACUGAGACACGGUCCAGACUCCUACGGGAGGCAGCAGUGGGGAAUAUUGCGCAAUGGGGGGAACCCUGACGCAGCCAUGCCGCGUGAAUGAAGAAGGCCUUAGGGUUGUAAAGUUCUUUCGGGAUUGAGGAAGGUUGAAUGUGUUAAUAGCACAUCAAAAUGACCUUAAAUACAGAAGAAGCACCGGCUAACUCCGUGGCAGCAGCCGCGGUAAAUCCGAAGGGGGCGAGCGUUAAUCGGAAUAACUGGGCGUAAAGGGGAACCAAGCCGUU
rnacentral:rRNA from 1 species